UCCCUGGUGGUCCAGUGGUUAGGAUCCCACACUUACAUUGCCCAGGGCACAGGUUCAAGCCCUGGUCAGGGAA
rnacentral:tRNA from 1 species